rnacentral:rRNA from 1 species
GCGGCGUGCCUAAUACAUGCAAGUCGAACGCUUCUUUCCUCCCGAGUGCUUGCACUCAAUUGGAAAGAGGAGUGGCGGACGGGUGAGUAACACGUGGGUAACCUACCCAUCAGAGGGGGAUAACACUUGGAAACAGGUGCUAAUACCGCAUAACAGUUUAUGCCGCAUGGCAUAAGAGUGAAAGGCGCUUUCGGGUGUCGCUGAUGGAUGGACCCGCGGUGCAUUAGCUAGUUGGUGAGGUAACGGCUCACCAAGGCCACGAUGCAUAGCCGACCUGAGAGGGUGAUCGGCCACACUGGGACUGAGACACGGCCCAGACUCCUACGGGAGGCAGCAGUAGGGAAUCUUCGGCAAUGGACGAAAGUCUGACCGAGCAACGCCGCGUGAGUGAAGAAGGUUUUCGGAUCGUAAAACUCUGUUGUUAGAGAAGAACAAGGACGUUAGUAACUGACCGUCCCCUGACGGUAUCUAACCAGAAAGCCACGGUUAACUACGUGCCAGCAGCCGCGGUAAUACGUAGGUGGCAAGCGUUGUCCGGAUUUAUUGGGCGUAAAGCGAGCGCAGGCGGUUUCUUAACUCUGAUGUGAAAGCCCCCGGCUCAACCGGGGAGGGUCAUUGGAAACUGGGAGACUUGAGUGCAAAAGAGGAGAGUGGAAUUCCAUGUGUAGCGGUGAAAUGCGUAGAUAUAUGGAGGAACACCAGUGGCGAAGGCGGCUCUCUGGUCUGUAACUGACGCUGAGGCUCGAAAGCGUGGGGAGCAAACAGGAUUAGAUACCCUGGUAGUCCACGCCGUAAACGAUGAGUGCUAAGUGUUGGAGGGUUUCCGCCCUUCAGUGCUGCAGCAAACGCAUUAAGCACUCCGCCUGGGGAGUACGACCGCAAGGUUGAAACUCAAAGGAAUUGACGGGGGCCCGCACAAGCGGUGGUGCAUGUGGUUUAAUUCGAAGCAACGCGAAGAACCUUACCAGGUCUUGACAUCCUUUGACCACUCUAGAGAUAGAGCUUUCCCUUCGGGGACAAAGUGACAGGUGGUGCAUGGUUGUCGUCAGCUCGUGUCGUGAGAUGUUGGGUUAAGUCCCGCAACGAGCGCAACCCUUAUUGUUAGUUGCCAUCAUUUAGUUGGGCACUCUAGCGAGACUGCCGGUGACAAACCGGAGGAAGGUGGGGAUGACGUCAAAUCAUCAUGCCCCUUAUGACCUGGGCUACACACGUGCUACAAUGGGAAGUACAACGAGUCGCUAGACCGCGAGGUCAUGCAAAUCUCUUAAAGCUUCUCUCAGUUCGGAUUGCAGGCUGCAACUCGCCUGCAUGAAGCCGGAAUCGCUAGUAAUCGCGGAUCAGCACGCCGCGGUGAAUACGUUCCCGGGCCUUGUACACACCGCCCGUCACACCACGAGAGUUUGUAACACCCGAAGUCGGUGAGGUAACCUUUUUGGAGCCAGCCGCCUAAGGUGGGAUAGAUGAUUGGGGUGAAGUCGUA